rnacentral:rRNA from 1 species
AAUCAACGCUGGCGGCGUGCCUCAGACAUGCAAGUCGAACGAUUAAACUUUCCUUCGGGAAAGAUAUAAAGUGGCGCACGGGUGAGUAACACGUAAGUAAUCUACCUUUGAGUGGGGAAUAACGUUCGGAAACGGACGCUAAUACCGCAUAAUGCAGCGGCACCUAAUGGUGACAGUUGUUAAAGGAGCAAUCCGCUUAAAGAGGAGCUUGCGGCAGAUUAGCUAGUUGGUAAGGUAACGGCUUACCAAGGCUACGAUCUGUAACCGGUCUAAGAGGACGGUCGGUCACACUGACACUGAAUAACGGGUCAGACUCCUACGGGAGGCAGCAGUCGGGAAUUUUGGGCAAUGGCGAAAGCCUGACCCAGCAACGCCGCGUGAAGGAUGAAGUAUUUCGGUAUGUAAACUUCGAAAGAAUGGGAAGAAUCAAUGACGGUACCAUUUAUAAGGUCCGCUAACUACGUGCCAGCCGCCGCAGUAAU